ACCUGCGGAAGGAUCAUUGUCGUGACCCUAAGCAAAAGAAACUGAGAAUGUGUCAUCCAUGUUGCCUGGGGAUGGUUUGUACGCCAUCUCUUGGCAUGGACCCUUGUCCUACAUAGGUAGUACAGGGUCCCAACAGAACCAACGGCGCCGGAUGGCGUCAAGGAAUACUUAUGUUGCUUGCUUGGGGUUAUGACCAGCCUGCUGGACGAGCCCCGUGCUGUGAUGAUACUUGAAUCAAUAAGACUCUCGGCAACGGAUAUCUUGGCUCUUGCAUCGAUGAAGAACGUAGCAAAAUGCGAUACCUGGUGUGAAUUGCAGAAUCCCGUGAACCAUUGAGUUUUUGAACGCAAGUUGCGCCCUAGGCCUCCGGUUGAGGGCACGUCUGACUGGGCGUCACACCAAAAGACACUAACCAGCCGUUUUGGCACUGGAUGUGGUGUUUGGCCUUCUAUGCCAUUUGUUAGGUGUGGUAGGCUAAAGUAGGAGGGUUUUGGCUAUGGUGCCGGUCACAGCACUUGGUGACAACAAAGGUCGUUCUUCGAGUUGUGACUUGUAUCGCUUUUGGAGCCCUUAGGACCCAUGGAUUGAGCAUCAAUUGCUCGCACCGCGACCCCAGGUCAGUCGGGAUUACCCGCUGAAUUUAAGCAUAUCAAUAAG
rnacentral:rRNA from 1 species